GAUGAACGCUGGCGGCGUGCUUAACACAUGCAAGUCGAACGAAGAUGCCGGAGUGCUUGCACUUUGGCAGACUGAGUGGCGGACGGGUGAGUAACGCGUGGGUAACCUGCCUUAUACAGGGGGAUAACAGUUGGAAACGACUGCUAAUACCGCAUAAGCGCACGGUAUCGCAUGAUACAGUGUGAAAAACUCCGGUGGUAUAAGAUGGACCCGCGUCUGAUUAGCUAGUUGGUGAGGUAACGGCCCACCAAGGCGACGAUCAGUAGCCGGACUGAGAGGUUGACCGGCCACAUUGGGACUGAGAUACGGCCCAGACUCCUACGGGAGGCAGCAGUGGGGAAUAUUGGGCAAUGGGCGCAAGCCUGACCCAGCAACGCCGCGUGAAGGAAGAAGGCUUUCGGGUUGUAAACUUCUUUUGUCAGGGACGAGUAGAAGACGGUACCUGACGAAUAAGCCACGGCUAACUACGUG
rnacentral:rRNA from 1 species